rnacentral:hammerhead_ribozyme from 1 species
AUUCAGCUGACGAAUCCCAAAUAGGACGAAAUGCGCGUUGUCCUGGAU